GAUGAAGAACGCAGCGAAAUGCGAUAAGUAAUGUGAAUUGCAGAAUUCAGUGAAUCAUCGAAUCUUUGAACGCACAUUGCGCCCCCUGGUAUUCCGGGGGGCAUGCCUGUUCGAGCGUCAUUUCAACCCUCAAGCUCUGCUUGGUAUUGGGCACCGUCCUUUGCGGGCGCGCCUCAAAGACCUCGGCGGUGGCGUCUUGCCUCAAGCGUAGUAGAAUACACCUCGCUUCGGAGCGUAAGGCGUCGCCCGCCGGACGAACCUUCUGAACUUUUCUCAAGGUUGACCUCGGAUCAGGUAGGGAUACCCGCUGAACUUAAGCAUAUCAAUAAGCGGAGGA
rnacentral:misc_RNA from 1 species